AUCAACUUUCGAUGGUAGGAUAGAGGCCUACCAUGGUGGUAACGGGUAACGGGGUGUUAGGGCACGACACCGGAGAGGGAGCCUGAGAAACGGCUACCACAUCCAAGGAUGGCAGCAGGCGCGCAAAUUACCCAAUCCCGACACGGGGAGGUAGUGACAAUAAAUAACAAUACGGGGUUCUUUAGGAUCUCGUAAUUGGAAUGAGUACAAUUUAAAUCUCUUAACGAGGAACAAUUGGAGGGCAAGUCUGGUGCCAGCAGCCGCGGUAAUUCCAGCUCCAAUAGCGUAUAUUAAAGUUGUUGCAGUUAAAAAGCUCGUAGUCGAAUUUCGGGGUCAGUAGGUCGGUCGUGCCACUGGUAUGAACUGGUUUUACUGAUUCCUCCCUCUUGAAGAACUGUAAUGCCAUUAAUUUGGUGUUGCAGGGAAUCAGGACUGUUACUUUGAAAAAAUUAGAGUGUUUAAAGCAGGCUUUAGCUUGAAUACAUUAGCAUGGAAUAAUGAAAUAGGACGUUUGAUCCUAUUUUGUUGGUUUCUAGGAUUGACGUAAUGAUUAAUAGGGAUAGUUGGGGGCAUUAGUAUUCAAUUGUCAGAGGUGAAAUUCUUGGAUUUAUUGAAGACUAACUACUGCGAAAGCAUUUGCCAAGGAUGUUUUCAUUAAUCAAGAACGAAAGUUAGGGGAUCGAAGACGAUCAGAUACCGUCGUAGUCUUAACCAUAAACUAUGCCGACUAGGGAUCGGAUGAUGUUAAUUUUUUAUGACUCAUUCGGCGCCUUACGGGAAACCAAAGUGUUUGGGUCA
rnacentral:rRNA from 1 species